UCCAAACCUCCCUCCAACUUCGUACCACCCUAUCAUUGUCUUUUUUAUCUCUGAUGUGUUGCCUAGUGCAAUUCUAGCAUACGAAUGUGUAACACAGGGGUUUCUAAAGUAACGUUUUUCUUCCUUAAUAGUUAACCCCCCAAACUAUAUUAGCUUAAUUAAUUUAUGUCUAAAUUAUGAUUAUUAGAAUGGAAUUCAAUUCCAAGGAUCCAAACGGGGCUUAAGCCUAAUUUCAUGAUUUGGCAAUGUUGUGCUACAAUAAACAUGUGCUAAUGAUGGAUUAAUUAGGCUUAAUAGAUUCGUCUCGUGAAUUAGUCUCAUUUAUGCAACUAGUUUUAUAAUUAAUACUCCUAAUUGAUGUCCAAAUUUCCGAUGCGACGGGACUAAAGUUUAGUCACCCGGAUCCAAACAUGCCCUUAGGUUCACAAAAUUGUCUUGGAUCAUUUUGCUACUGCAGUCUCCACAAAGUGGGAACAAUCCAUAGGGUUUUAUGUGAUAUUGUGGUAGUUAUUUAUUGGUUCAUCAAGAUAUUCAGUUAAAAGGGUAAGAGGUAAGAGCAUCGGUGUACUUGGUUUAAUAAAGUACAUCGGUUACUUGGUUUGAUACUUUCUGCAUAUGCAAAAACUCCUUAAAUGAUCAGUUUUUUUCUCAAUUUUAUAUUGUGUUCCAUUAUGUGUGACCUGGCUGUAUGGAAAUUUAUGUGUUUCUGUGUUGUUAUUUUUUCCGAUUCAUUGGAUGUAUCAGGGAGUAUCAAGUAUCAUGCUCUGUUAUUCCUUUAUAUUCUAUAAUAAGGCUAUGAUCUUUCUUCUUUCUAUGUAAUACAGAAUGAUAAUGGUCUCUUCUGUGAAAUGGGUGAAUGAUAUCAUUUAUGCCAUAACUGCAAAUAUCAUGAACAAGCUAUUCGAUGAGUACAACAUAGAUUACAUUAUCCAUGGUAAUGAUCCUUGUUUGCUACCAGAUGGUACUGAUGCAUAUGCCAUGCCAAAAGGCUGGCCGAUAUAAGCAGAUUAAAAAACUGAGGGAGUGUCAAUGACAGACAUUGUUGGUACUAAUUCCACUUUAGUUUUUCUUUUCAGAUUUCGAUGUUAGACUUUGCUUUGCUAAGAAUGAUUUUUUUUUGUUGAAGGGCAAACUGUGGGGGAGUUCCCCAGAACUUUGCUAAGAAUGCUAUUGAGGACGUAUGCUUCUUUGUGUUAGAGGGAGGGAGGGUCAGCUUCUGAGGCCCACAAUCACUCUUCACUACAAAGGCAAUUCAGUAGUGGACAUGGUCAGAAAGUUGAUGAUAGUGGAUCUUGAAGUGGAACUAGAAUAACUCAUUUCCUUCCUACAUCUAGGCGAAUAGUUAAGUUCUCAAAUAGGGUCCAGGUUCAGAGUCUCGGAUAGUUUACAUAGAUGGUGCAUCUGAUCUGUUCCAUGCAGGAGAUGUUGAGAUUACCGCAUUCAAUAUUUUGUUGGUUGUUCAUGUAACAAUUGCUGAGAAUGUGGACUAUGCGAAGAAGCGGAACGAGAAGGAAGCCAGUGAGAAGAAGUACUACGGCAGUAAAAGCUUUGUCAAUGGGGAGUAAGUUACGAUGAAGAUGUUGCCUAGAUCACUUGAAAUUCCAAGCUUUCUUCAUAAAGGCAGCAGGUGCAGAGUUCUACCUUCUCUUCAGCAUGUUUGAUGCUUUGCUAACAUAGCUCAGGAAGCAUCAGGUGCAUCAUCGAUGAGUGACUCGCAGAGGCAACUAAUUGGGCUAAGGCUAGAAGCAUUUCCAUCAUUUCCCCAGUGUCUCCAGCCUAUUUCCCCCCUGUACAUGCGCCGCCUUUGAGUUGUCUGUUGUUUCCGGCUGAGUUCCAUUUGAUAUCUAUAGGUUUCAGAAUUGUGUGGUGCAGUAUGAAUGUUAGCCUGAUAAACUGUGCUGCCGCUGAUGCUCCCUCGCUGAGUUC